UGUGUCAACAAUGGGCUAAGAGACAUCUUGUGGUGGUGUUAUUCUUAUAUUGGUUAGGGGCAAAGCAGAUGACUGUCUUUUGUUCAUCCUAGCUUGAUGCCUGGCUUGACAUGCAAAACUAUCUUAUGCCUAGGACUCAUAA
ensembl:snoRNA Gm22315 small nucleolar RNA SNORA48